CUCACUUGGGGCGAAAUCUGGGAACUCGUCGAGGAGCUUGACUGCCGGGUCGCUGCCGACUGUAUCGACAACCACUGUGUACCGAGGUUGAACAACAUGAAAUGGAACAUGACAACGCUGCAAACAGAUGAUCUGAGGCAUCAUAUCCUGUCCCAGUCAGUGCAUGGUGUUCGACAAAUCACAAGAGCCACGGUCGGCAUGGUGAAUUGUGCGUGGUGGCGUCCUGUUCAGUUUGUGGAUAAACCUGAACUGCAGGCCCAGGCGGCUAUUUUCCGGGAACGCUUCUCCAGCUACUGGCGGGAAUUGGCG